UUCAGGCAAAUAGGUUAAAAUUAAACGAUUCAAAAACUCAACAAGUUUCGCUUUCACAUGCAACUCAACAAGUAUCCUCUAUCAAGUUACUCGGACUACAUCUGGAGAGUAGGUUGGGUUGGAAAACCCAUAUAGAUGUCUUAACCCGAAAGUUGUCAGCGGCACUUUUUUCGAUUCGUAGGAUAAAAAUGUGCUCUUCAGACGAAAUAGCUAGGUUAGCGUAUUUCGCUAAUUUCCAUUCUUUGGCCUCAUAUGGAAUAGUUUUUUGGGGGGAACAUCGGAAGCAUCUAGAGUUUUUAGACUGCAAAAGAGGGCAAUUAGAACACUUUGCGGCCUUCAAGCCAGAGACAGCUGUAGGAGUUCGUUUGUAUCAGGGAGGAUACUUACAAUAUCAAGCAUGUAUAUCCUAGCCUGUUUAAAAUAUGUUCACCAAAAUAUUGAACAGUUUCCAAGAAAUAUGAACAAACAUGCUUUCAACACAAGAAAUAAAUCUGCUCUAGAAAUACCUUACCAUCGACUUACCUCAUCCCAAAAGUUCAUUGACCAUUGGGGUCCUGUUUUUUAUAAUAAAGUUCCAAAUGCUUUCAAGAGGUUGGAUGAAAAGCGAUUCAGUCUGGAGAUGAAAAAGAUGCUGUUGAAGACUGCUUUCUAUAGUGUGCAGGAAUUUUUAGACAGUGAUAUUUUUACAUGAUUUCUAUUUAAUUAAGACUAUAAUGUAAUUAUUGUAUUUGUAAUGUGUACUUGUUAUAUACCUUAUAUGUUGUUAUAUUCAUAUGACGUCUUUCUAUAUCUUUAUAAAGAGAAUAAUAAAUUAUGAAUUAAAAAAAAAUAUAUUAUGAAUUUUGGAGGGGUCAUGACCCCCUUGAUCCCCCUCUGGUACCGCGCUUGCUCACUAGUUUUAUCAUAUUAAGAGUAAUGGUACAGGAUCAAAUGAUCCUACAAGAAAUGAUAAUAUAAUUAAGUACUGUUUUUAUUUCCAACUUUUAUUAAAUCAAAAGUAUAUUGCUUCUUCAGAAUUUUGUCCAACUCGGAUAUUCCUGAAAUUCCAAAAGAAAUGGUACAAUUAAUUUUUAAUCAUGAAGUUUCUUCACAAGUUUCUCAUUGAUCCUUCAUUCUAUUGAAUUAAUAUUUGAUAUGAUGAAUAUUUAUUCAUUAAUUUCCUUCUGGAAGACAUUAGUAAUUAGUAGAGGACGUAGUUCUUAUACCUACUACAUUGGAAAAAAAAUCAGAAUUAGGUGAAACUUUCGAUAUUUUAUAUUAAUUUUUAUAGAGAUUUGAAUAUUACGAAAUUUGAAAUAAAAUAACUGUUAUUUAAUUUCGAUUUGAUGGAAUUCUCAUCGAGUUAAGACCCAGUCAAUCCAAUACUUGCUCUCCAGACAUUUUAGCGCAAAUAAUACUUCCAAGUAAAGAAAUUAGGGAAUCACUGAAUCAUAUCCUAGAACUCACUCUCAAGUCACUUAUCGUCUUUCUCUGAGAAGAUUAGAUGUUUCCGUCCACGUUAUCAUUUCAUUGGAAUACAUCAAGAAUUGAUCUAGAAUAUUUCAUGAUAACUAGUUCCAAGAAUCAUUCACUAUCAAGUUCAGGGAAAUCUUGGAAUCAAUUAAGUGAUAUUGAUUCCUACAUUAAUAUCAUAAUAGCGUUUCGAAUAUCGAAAGACAUUUGAUUAAGUUGAAAAUGGAAUUUUUGAGUAUGAAUCAUUUGACAAAAUUAAAAAUAUGAGAAUCUAGUAUGGGAUAAACAUUGCAAUCUGUAUUUUACUCAUUCCCUUGUAAUGUAGGUCAAAUUCCAAUAUCAAUUUCAGUAGCGAUAUUUCCGCAAGGUAGCUACUAUUGGAAUUCAUUGUUGAAUUACCAAUGAUUUGUUACUAUGUCGUCAAUGAUAAUUUGUAAACUAUAUUCUGAUAUAUAACUAUGCAUAUAAGCCGAUAUAGGCAGUUCCAUAAGAGAUAUACUAGAGAGUUCUAGAUUCGGCAUCAUUGUUUCUUCACACGAUAACUUGUGUAUCUCGUGUAAUGUAAAAGUUGGUGAUACUAUGAAUAAACCUCAUCUGUUACUCCCUUGAGUGUGUGUCUUAUUUCACCCUGCAUGUACGAUAAGACUGGUACCUGAAUGGAGCCAAUACAUUCAAAAUCCUCGACACUAUUAUAGGGACUGUAUUGUCUGCCGGAAAAAUGGCAUUAUGGGAGUCGCGCCACACUCUACUACGGCCUGGCUGGUUAUGAGGAUCGCCACGUUGCAGCAGAGUCACCUCUCCACGAUGGUAUGGGAGGGUGUCUUAGGCAGAGAUCGCUGAAUUGCCCUACUGAAGAGUCCACCAGCGAUCUAGGGACGAAACACGCCUUAUCCUUAGGGAAGGGCACACCUACGUAAAUUUGGCUCGAGAACGUCCCGCCAAACUACAGAAUGCAUUCUCCGCUAAAACUUUUUCAUUCUUUUCUUGAAACUAUUUAAAGGCAAAUUGUUUGUUAGAGAAAGAAUUUUAAUAUAUAGUUUAACCGACA